AUUUGUAGAUUAAGAAAGAAGAUAAAAAUGUCAGAAGAACAGUCCUGAACAGUAUCGUGGGAACAUUGGAUCUAAGCAUCAAGCAAUUCAGGCAAGGGGAAACACAUCUCGGGAAAACAAAGAAACAUUCUGCUGUUCUGGCUGUCCAAGAGCCUUUAGAUACCUGUAAAUAUGCUUACAUCGCUAAUGUUUGUGUGGCAAAGUUUGCUCGCCGCCGGGGCAUUGCUUCAAACAUGUUAUACUUGGCUGCUGAUGUAGCCACAACGGCAGGGAUGAAGCAGCUUUUUGUUCACGUGAAUGCAGAUAACAAUCCCGCCCAGGAUCUGUACAAAAAGAUUGGUUUUGAAGUGGUUGAGGAGGCUUCUUCUUCAACUUCGGACAAUGAUAAGAUACUGAUGUCCAUGGAACUGUGAUCUGGUGAUGUACAUGUCUAUAUUCAUUAAGUCAAGUACUUGUUGGUUUUCUGUGUGUCUACUUUUUAAUACUCUACUCCAUGAUUAGGUAUAUAUAUAUAUACAUAGAAGGUUUAGCACAAGUUAGCAAACUGUAAUUACAAUUGUAUUUGUACAUGAAUUAGAUAGUUCAAUUAGGCUGCAUGCAUGUUGCAUUGCAUUCCUGUGUAAUAACAAUCGAUUUGUCUCACCCAUCCCAUCUAAAAUAUGUAAACUCUUUUUAGUCUGAUUUCA